rnacentral:rRNA from 1 species
CCUACGGGAGGCAGCAGUGAGGAAUAUUGGUCAAUGGACGGAAGUCUGAACCAGCCAUGCCGCGUGCAGGAAGACGGCUCUAUGAGUUGGAAACUGCUUUUGUACAAGGGGAAACCUGAAUACGUGUAUGCAGCUGAAAGUACUGUACGAAUAAGGAUCGGCUAACUCCGUGCCAGCAGCCGCGGUAAUACGGAGGAGCCAAGCGUUAUCCGGAUGUAGUGGGGUUAAAGGGUGCGUAGGCGGAUUGAUAAGUUAGAGGUGCAAUGUCCGCGCUUAACUCGGGAACUUCCUCUUAUACGUGUGCUCUAGAGCGUAGAUGCGUUCGGCGGAAUGUAUGGUGUAGCGGU